AACUAUAACGGUCCUAAGGUAGCGAAAUUCCUUGUCAGGUAAGUUCUGACCCGCACGAAAGGUGUAACGAUCUGGGCACUGUCUCAACAACCCGCCCGGCGAAAUUGUAGUACCGGUGAAGAUGCCGGUUACCCGCGACUAGACGGAAAGACCCCAUGGAGCUUUACUGUAGCCUAAUAUUGGAUUUCGGUAUUUCACGUACAGGAUAGGUGGGAGACUGGGAAGCACAGGCGUCAGCUUGUGUGGAGUCGACCUUGGGAUACCACUCUUGGAGUGCUGGAAUUCUAACCUGCGGCUUUGAAGCAAGUCGGGGGACAUUGUUAGGUGGGCAGUUUGACUGGGGCGGUCGCCUCCUAAAGAGUAACGGAGGCGCUCAAAGGUUCGCUCUGCAUGGAUGGAAACCAUGCGUCAGAGUGUAAACGCAAAAGCGAGCCUAACUGCGAGAAUGACGGUUCGAGCAGUAACGAAAGUUGGAGUUAGUGAUCCGGCGGUAUGUGAAUGGAAAUGCCGUCGCUCAACGGAUAAAAGCUACCCUGGGGAUAACAGGCUGAUCUCCCCCAAGAGUCCACAUCGACGGGGAGGUUUGGCACCUCGAUGUCGGCUCAUCGCAUCCUGGGGCUGAAGUAGGUCCCAAGGGUUGGGCUGUUCGCCCAUUAAAGCGGUACGCGAGCUGGGUUCAGAACGUCGUGAGACAGUUCGGUCCCUAUCUGUCGUGGGCGCAGGAGGUUUGAGGAGAGCUGCCCCUAGUACGAGAGGACCGGGGUGGACGGACCGAUGGUGCACCAGUUGUCACGCCAGUGGCACAGCUGGGCAGCCAAGUCCGGACGGGAUAAGCGCUGAAGGCAUCUAAGCGUGAAGCCCCCUCCAAGAUGAGACCUCCCAUUGGCGACAAGUAAGGCCCCUCGAAGACGACGAGGUUGAUAGGCCGCGAGUGCAAGCGCAGCGAUGUGCUUAGCGGGGCGGUACUAAUAGGCCGAGGACUUGGCCAA
rnacentral:rRNA from 1 species